rnacentral:rRNA from 1 species
UACGGAGGGUGCAAGCGUUAUCCGGAUUCACUGGGUUUAAAGGGUGCGUAGGUGGGUUGGUAAGUCAGUGGUGAAAUCUCCGUGCUUAACAUGGAAACUGCCAUUGAUACUACAGGUCUUGAAUUUUCUGGAGGUAAGCGGAAUAUGUCAUGUAGCGGUGAAAUGCUUAGAUAUGACAUAGAACACCAAUUGCGAAGGCAGCUUACUACAGGGAUAUUGACACUGAGGCACGAAAGCGUGGGGAGUCAAACAGGA